rnacentral:rRNA from 1 species
UGGGGAAUAUUGCACAAUGGGCGCAAGCCUGAUGCAGCCAUGCCGCGUGUAUGAAGAAGGCCUUCGGGUUGUAAAGUACUUUCAGCGGGGAGGAAGGGAGUAAAGUUAAUACCUUUGCUCAUUGACGUUACCCGCAGAAGAAGCACCGGCUAACUCCGUGCCAGCAGCCGCGGUAAUACGGAGGGUGCAAGCGUUAAUCGGAAUUACUGGGCGUAAAGCGCACGCAGGCGGUUUGUUAAGUCAGAUGUGAAAUCCCCGGGCUCAACCUGGGAACUGCAUCUGAUACUGGCAAGCUUAGUCUCGUAGAGGGGGGUAGAAUUCCAGGUGUAGCGGUGAAAUGCGUAGAGAUCUGGAGGAAUACCGGUGGCGAAGGCGGCCCCCUGGACGAAGACUGACGCUCAGGUGCGAAAGCGUGGGGAGCAAACAGG